rnacentral:rRNA from 1 species
AUUGAACGCUGGCGGAAUGCUUUACACAUGCAAGUCGAACGGUAGAGGGGGCAACCCCUCGAGAGUGGCGGACGGGUGAGUAAUAUAUCGGAACGUGCCCAGUCGUGGGGGAUAACGUAGCGAAGGUUACGCUAAUACCGCAUACGAUCUACGGAUGAAAGCGGGGGAUCGCAGGACCUCGCGCGAUUGGAGCGGCCGAUAUCAGAUUAGGUAGUUGGUGGGGUAAAGGCUCACCAAGCCAACGGUCUGUAGCUGGUCUGAGAGGACGACCAGCCACACUGGAACUGAGACACGGUCCAGACUCCUACGGGAGGCAGCAGUGGGGAAUUUUGGACAAUGGACGCAAGUCUGAUCCAGCCAUUCCGCGUGCAGGAUGAAGGCCCUCGGGUUGUAAACUGCUUUUGUACGGAACGAAAAGGUUUCCAUUAAUACUGGGAGCUCAUGACGGUACCGUAAGAAUAAGCACCGGCUAACUACGUGCCAGCCGCCGCAGUAA